rnacentral:rRNA from 1 species
UACCAGCACCCCGAGUGGUCGGGACGUUUAUUGGGCCUAAAGCAUCCGUAGCCGGUUCUACAAGUCUUCCGUUAAAUCCAACUGCUUAACAGGUGGGCUGCGGAAGAUACUAUAGAGCUAGGAGGCGGGAGAGGCAAGCGGUACUCGAUGGGUAGGGGUAAAAUCCGUUGAUCCAUUGAAGACCACCAGUGGCGAAGGCGGCUUGCCAGAACGCGCUCGACGGUGAGGGAUGAAAGCUGGGGGAGCGAACAGG